rnacentral:lncRNA from 1 species
AUUUUUACUAGUUGUUGUGGUUCUCUCAUCGAUAGAAGUCUACUGAUUUUCUUUUGGGUUGCAAUUGUCAAUUAAUUCGCAAGUAUGAGUUUAGUCAAACAGAGUAAUUUCUUAAUCUUAUUCUCAUUUUUUUCUGGUACUCGUCGAUCUUCUUAAAAUUUUGGGAAAAAUAGUUUGGGGUUGGGAAAGAUUAACUAACAAGAACUUGACGCGUUAACCCUAAUUUUAUAGAUUCUACCUAGUCCUAUAUAGCGUCAGGAAUUCUAGUCAGAUGCGACAUUCCUCCGCAAACGAUAUUAAUGCUCUAACCCAUGACCUAAUGUCAUCAAUCCGUCGAGGAGUGCAAGCUGUCACUACAUAAAGGUAAAAGGAAAUCUUUGAUGGUUAAGCCGACAAAAUAAUAUUGCCAUAAAA